UAUCCCUGGGACAACAUAUAGGGAUGAUAUCCCUGGGACGAUGAUAUCCCUGGGACAACAUACUGUAUAGGUAUGAUAUCCCUGGGACAACAUAUAGGGAUGAUAUCCCUGGGACGAUGAUAUCCCUGGGACAACAUACUGUAUAGGUAUGAUAUCCCUGGGACAACAUAUAGGGAUGAUAUCCCUGGGACAACAUACUGUAUAGGUGUGAUAUCCCUGGGACAACAUACUUUAUAGGUAUGAUAUCCCUGGGACAACAUAUAGGGAUGAUAUCCCUGGGACAACAUACUGUAUAGGUGUGAUAUCCCUGGGACAACAUACUGUAUAGGUAUGAUAUCCCUGGGACAACAUAUAGGGAUGAUAUCCCUGGGACGAUGAUAUCCCUGGGACAACAUACUGUAUAGGUAUGAUAUCCCUGGGACAACAUAUAGGGAUGAUAUCCCUGGGACGAUGAUAUCCCUGGGACAACAUACUGUAUAGGUAUGAUAUCCCUGGGACAACAUAUAGGUAUGAUAUCCCUGGGACAACAUACUGUAUAGGUGUGAUAUCCCUGGGACAACAUAUAGGGAUGAUAUCCCUGGGACGAUGAUAUCCCUGGGACAACAUACUGUAUAGGUAUGAUAUCCCUGGGACAACAUAUAGGGAUGAUAUCCCUGGGACGAUGAUAUCCCUGGGACAACAUACUGUAUAGGUAUGAUAUCACUGGGACAACAUACUGUAUAGGAAUGAUAUCACUGGGACAACAUACUGUAUAGGUAUGAUAUCACUGGGACAACAUACUGUAUAGGUAUGAUAUCACUGGGACAACAUAUAGGGAUGAUAUCACUGGAACAACAUACUGUAUAGGUAUGAUAUCACUGGGACAACAUAUAGGGAUGAUAUCACUGGAACAACAUACUGUGUAGGUAUGAUAUCACUGGGACAACAUACUGUGUAGGUAUGAUAUCACUGGAACAACAUACUGUGUAGGUAUGAUAUCACUGGGACAACAUACUGUGUAGGUAUGAUAUCACUGGGACAACAUACUGUAUAGGUAUGAUAUCACUGGGACAACAUACUGUAUAGGUAUGAUAUCACUGGGACAACAUACUGUAUAGGUAUGAUAUCACUGGGACAACAUAUAGGGAUGAUAUCACUGGGACAACAUACUGUAUAGGUAUGAUAUCACUGGGACAACAUACUGUAUAGGUAUGAUAUCACUGGGACAACAUACU